rnacentral:rRNA from 1 species
UUUCCGGUUGAUCCUGCCGGACCUGACUGCUAUCGGAUUGAUACUAAGCCAUGCGAGUCUUUGUAGUAAUACAAGGCAUACGGCUCAGUAACGCGUAGUCAACCUACCCUAUGGACAAGAAUAAUCUCGGGAAACUGAGCAUAAUUCUUGAUAGAUCAUAAUGCCUGGAAUGGUUUAUGGUUAAAAUGAUUCGUCGCCAUAGGAUGGGACUGCGGCCUAUCAGCUUGUUGGUGAGGUAAUGGCCCACCAAGGCGAUAACAGGUACGGGCUCUGAGAGGAGAAGCCCGGAGAUGGGUACUGAGACAAGGACCCAGGCCCUAUGGGGCGCAGCAGGCGAGAAAACUUUGCAAUGUGCGAAAGCACGACAAGGUUAGUCCGAGUGAUUUCUGCUAAAGAGAUCUUUUGCUAGUCAUAAAACCACUAGUGAAUAAGGGGUGGGCAAGUUCUGGUGUCAGCCGCCGCGGUAAAACCAGCACCUCAAGUGGUCAGGAUGAUUAUUGGGCCUAAAGCAUCCGUAGCCGGCUCUGUAAGUUUUCGGUUAAAUCUAUGCGCUCAACGUAUGGGCUGCCGAAAAUACUGCAGAGAUAGGGAGUGGGAGAGGUAGACGGUACUCGGUAGGAAGGGGUAAAAUCCUUUGAUCUAUCGAUGACCACCUGUGGCGAAGGCGGUCUACCAGAACACGUUCGACGGUGAGGGAUGAAAGCUGGGGGAGCAAACCGGAUUAGAUACCCGGGUAGUCCCAGCUGUAAACGAUGCAGACUCGAUGAUGCAUUGGCAUAUAGCCAGUGCAGUGUCGCAGGGAAGCCGUUAAGUCUGCCGCCUGGGAAGUACGUACGCAAGUAUGAAACUUAAAGGAAUUGGCGGGAGAGCACCACAAGGGGUGAAGCCUGCGGUUCAAUUGGAGUCAACGCCGGG